UGGUCGGGUUGGCUCGGAAUUUCUUGUGAGGAUUUUUUCCCCAGACCAGAUGCUAUCUAAUUUUUUAAGAAGGUCCUGAAUUUUUCAACUUGGGCUGGGUCUGCUGGAACCAGAUUGACCACAAUACUUCUGGAUUGGCUUACCUGUUCAUAGACCUAGGACAUCUUGUUGAUUGUUGAUUUUUUCUGACCACUCUAGAUUAGUCAUCAUCACGUUUUCAAUCAAAAAUGCUUCUUGCUUAAUUGUAUAACGCUUGCCCUUUUACCUCUAUAGGUAAACUUGUUCUUGUAGUUGGUAUUGCUGCCUUUUUUUCCUUUGGUCCUGUGUUCCUUGUUUCAGUAAUUGCAGGUUUAACAAUUUUCAAACAGGGGUGGAUGCAACAUAGUCUGAAUUCCAUGUUUAGGUUGUUUAUAGAUGUAUUUACUAGUGGUGUGUCGGGCUUUACUUUUGCUAAAACUAAGUGUGUUAGUUUCUUUGUUAGGUAUCCUAUUCCUUGAAUUACGACCACCAGUGCAAACUUUUCAAAGUCCCGAUUUUACGCAUGUACCCAACAUUUUUGAGCUGAUGGGUCUUUCCUUGUUCUUCUCUUUUCCCCCUUUUUCCUACUUAUAUGCAUUUAUGUCAAGUGAUAUUAGAUGUAGUUUACUGAUACUCCUAUCACACGGUCUGUUCUUAUAUCCCUCAGUUGUUAUUAUU
rnacentral:lncRNA from 1 species